GCAGUUCGGCUCACGUCGGCAGCCCUGGAGAGCUCCUGCCAGGAAGCCUUCGUAAUCGAUCCACGGAAGGGGGAAUUGCGGCUUGGGGUCGCUCUGCUGGUUCGCUAGGCUCCUCUCUCAGUGUCGUCGUUUUCUUAGAUUUCUUUCAUCUUUUUCUGCCAGGCGACCUAAGUCUUCUCCGAAGGAUAAUUGGCCCAUCUCAGAAGCAAUGGAUAUCAAUCUGGGAAUUAAAUUAGCCGGGCGUGGGGGCGCGCGCCUGUAGUCCCAGCUGGUUGGAAGGCUAAGGCCGGAGAAUCGCUUGAACUCGGGAGGCAGAGGCUGCAAGUGAGCUGAGAUCGCGCCACUGCACUCCAGCCUGGGCGACAGAGCGAGACUCCGUCUCCAGAAAAAAUAAAAUAAAAAUUUAAAAUCUGGGAAUUAUUUGAGAGGAAAGCAAUUGUGAAGAUAAGAAACUUCAGGUCACUGCAAACAACAGCAACAAAAAUGUUAGCUCAGUGUGAUGAGAUCAACUAACCCAGGGGUUUAACUAAAUUAGUGCAUAUUUAGAUGUCUAAUAUGAAAGAUAAUUUAUUUGAAUAAGGGAAAUCUUAGGUUUUGCAUAGUUACCAUCCCAUAGUUUACUGAAGAAUCUACACUUUUUUUUUAAUCUACUCAGCAUCCCUUCCUUUGGGAAACUACCUGCUUGUCUCUGCUCCCUGUAUUCUAAUGAGCUGCAAGCACAGAACCCAGACCGCAAAGGCGGAAGCAAACACUAGGUCAGUCAGAUUCUCCUGGGACCUGGAAUCUUGGCUGGAGACCCACCGAAUAGAAAGUAACUGGAAACGAGUGCUCUUAAGAGCGGGUUUAUCAAUGCAUCACAUUGAGCUCCCCCAGAGCUGCUGGGUUCCUGACUGGUCACUUGGUUAUGUAAUCUAUCCAAUACACUAAUCAGUCUGUUUCUCUGUUUCUCUCUUCCUCUCUCCUUUCCCCCUUCCUUCCUUUCGUCUUUUCCUCUCUCUCCCUCUCUCUCUAUCUCCACGUCUUUUUUCUCUUCUCUUUCUCUUUUUACUUGAGUUAGCCAUAAUUAUUUCUUGUUUCCUAAAACUAAGGAAGCCAAACUGAUAAAAAGACUCCGUUAUUUACAAUGUGAGGUUUCCAAAUGCCCCAUGAGAGCUUCCAGCUUCCAAGAAUCUCCACAUUCUGCCACAGCUUUAUUUUUUUAUUUUUUGGACAGGGUUUCACUCCAUUGCCCAGGCUGGAGUGCAGUGGCGCAAACAACAUGACUCACUGCAACCUCCACCUCCCUGGCUCAGGUGAUCCUUCCACCUCAGCCUCCCGAGUAGCUGGGAUCACAGGCACACGCCACUGGGCCCGACUAAUUUUUGUAUUCUUUAUAGAGCCAGGGUUUCACCAUGUUGCCCAGGCUGGUCUCCAACUCCUGGGCUCAAGCAAUCCGCCUGCCUCAGCCUUCCAAAGUGUUGGGAUUACAGGCAUGAGCCACCCCAUCGCGCCCCCAGCUAAUUUUUUUACUUUUUUGUUGAGACAGGGUCUUGCUAUGUUUCCCAGGUUGGUCUUGAAUUCCUGGGCUCAAGCAACCUGCCCGCCUCGGCCUCCCAAAGUGCUGGGAUUACAGGCAUGAGCCACAGCACCAGCCAAUUUUACUUAAUUAUUCCCCGCCAGUACUGCCCUACAAAUGUCACAGGCUAUUGCAAAAAUGACCUACUCCCUGUUUCCCUCUUAUUGCUCCCCCUUCUCUGUGCUUAUGCUAGACCCUCAUUCUGAAAUGCCC
rnacentral:lncRNA from 10 species